GCUUCCGACAAAAGUUCUGCCAUUUCUUUGGCGCUUUCUGGCAAUGGAACUGAACCGUCUCUUAGGAAAUUCAAUAUUGUACCAAAGUGUUUUCCACACCGAUCAAUUAAUACCCAUCCUAUAGCAAAAUUUAUAAAUAUAACUUAAAAACAACUGUGUCAAUAAUUUGCUAUUAAAAAAAAGUAAUUUAAUAAAUACAAAAAAAUAAUAUUUUUAGUGAAGAUCAUCCCUCUAGUGUUCAAAUAAAGUGCAUAUUAUUUUAUAAAGAAAAGAAAAUCUAUAUAAUUUGAAUUUAUGAGAAUAGUGUUUAAUAGUUCAUACAAACUGACAGCAAAUAAAAAUUCUCAAUAUGUCACUUAAACGCAAUGAAUAUCUCUUACUAUAAUUUAUUCUUGAUAUGAUACUAUAUUACACUUAAUACGUCACUUAAUAUGCACGCAUAUUACUUCAAUAUAAUAUUUUAAUAUUUAAAAUAUGUACUUUUUGUGUAGAAAGAGAUAGAACAUAUCAAAACAGAAAAAAAAGAUGGCGGCCGCACGGUUAAUGAUCUCGAAAUGAUCGAACGUUUAUCGAGGAUAAAUACAAUAUCGUUGUACAACGAUAUAUCGUGUUAAUCGUGAAUAGGAAAGAAAAAAGACAUAACGAGCUUCGACACAACUCCAAAAAAGAUUUAAUUAAUUAAUCAAAACUUACGUACGUAUGUAUGUGUGUGUCGUGUAUGUGUAUCGUGAAAAUAAAUUAAAUAAGACAAAAUAUAAAGAAACGUAAAAAGGGGGAGGCGGGGUGUAAUAUAA
rnacentral:lncRNA from 1 species